GGGCCGGAAAGGAACUUAACCCAUCGUUGCUGGGGGCUGUCGCUCCUUACCGGGCCGUCGCGCCUUACAAAGAGGAAUGAUUGUUGGUUUUUUUUUUUUUUAAUGAAUGGAGGGCGGCGGCAAGCAGCAGCUGCAGCUGGAUCAGCUGCGCGUGCUGUACCCCACCCGGCCUGGGAAAGAAGGGGAACCUGGCAGAGCUGGAUGUCCCUGCCUGUUGUUGUGGCUGUUACUGAUGGAUGAUGCAGAUGAUGAAGAUUUCACUUCAAGUCUCAACACGGUGUUCCAGCAUGGGAUGCAGCAAGGAUUUCCCAAUAUGGAUCUUCACCUGGCACCCACCAUCCAGCUAUAA
rnacentral:lncRNA from 1 species